rnacentral:lncRNA from 1 species
GCCAAAAGGCGAACAAUGGAGGCAUAAGAUCCCUUAAAUACUUCCCAAACCGAACGGCUAGGGUUUUCCACUGAACAGCGUCGACUCGCCGAGUCCAUACCUGGACUCGUCGAGUCCAGUCGCGAACCCGCGACCAACUCUGCGACCCUACUCGGCGAGUCUGGCUCCAACUCGCCGAGUCUCCCCUUUAAAACACCCCAAAAUGCAAUUUAGCAAUACUUGAGAUUUUGGGCUGUUACAAUUCUCCCCCACUAGAAUUAGACUUCGCCCUCGAAGUCUCACUCUGAAAAUAGUUCUGGAUGCUGCUCCCGCAUCACACGUUUCGGCUUCCCUAAACACUUCCGAUAUCUUCCGAGGUCGCUACUGAACCAAUACCAGAGGUACCUCCUUGUUCCUCAGAACCUUGAUCUUCCAAUCUCCGACGGCCACUGGCCUCUUGACGUAACACAGGCUCGCAUCCACCUAAUCGUUCUCUAGUAGAACCACUGCUGACUCAUCCGCUAUACACCUCUUCAACUGCGACACAUACCAGUGUCAUGGAUCCGUCCCAAUUCCGUUGACAGCUCCAAACGAUAGGCCACCCUUCCUACCUUCGCACCUUCACGAAAAGACCCAACAUACCGGGGCCCCCCAUUUACCCCUCUUCCUAAAUCGAAGCACCCCGUCAGAAAUACGAAGUCGCUGACCUGAAUCACAUGCUCGUAACGGCGUCUGCCUGCAUAACUUUCCUGUUAACUCUAGACGAUCACUAACUCUCUUUAACCUGCUGAGUCUGCUUUGUCAACUAAAGUACGAACUCUGAACUGCUCAUCACUCUCUGUAAUCGGAAAUUACCCAAGAUGCACUCUGCUCCAAAUCUCAACGAUCACUCAACCCAUAAGGGUUAGGAAACCCUGAACCACCGGAUCCCCGAUCCAAAGCCCACUUUGCCCAUUCCGGACCGACUGAGAGAUCCGUUCUCCCUCUCAGAUCAACUCUCACAAGUUCCCUCUUGCCAUCACAUACACAUACUGAACUAGUCCCAACACCCGCAGGUGGAAAGACCCGAUACACUGAUGAUAUCCUCGAACAUCUCCCAAGAUGAACCACUACAUCCACCCUACACUCUGAUCAGAUUCACACUGAGAAUUUAAAAUUUUCUCUCUCCAUGCAUCCCUUCUGAGCCUCAACAGACAUCCCAACCGGAUGGGUUCCUACUCCACUGCCGCGAACACGAUGCUCAAAACCAUACUCGAAAUACUCUAACCAUAACUCUGCUCUGCAGCUUUCACUUUCGUGAACUUGCACCCCCUUCGGAGUUACAUACCCUCCUCUUUUCCUUUUCCACGGAACUCUCUUGAACAUAAUGCCACUCCAACCGGUGCCACGGUGCUCGCCCCAAGCGACACCACCCUUUUUGCGUAACUGCUAUUCACAUACUCUGGUUCUCAUUGCAGGGGCUCUCAAUCCCAUGCACUCUCUCCACUCAUCAAAAUCACUGCCUCCGCUAAACAAGAUCAAUAACCCGGGGCCAGACCUUCCAAUGCAAUCACACUGCAACAUACGCGAUCCGCAAAUCUCAAACUAAUCCAGCAAUACCAACAGAGUCUCCAGUAUGACUGGACCGACUCUCAUAACACAUACUAGCCACUCGAGGCUAUAUCUCUGUGGGUCCGUACACCCAACUCUGCGAACCCUCAGGUUCUAACUCUGGGAACCUUCCGGUUCCAGCUCUAGAAACAUGCACAACAUAAUCCCGUGGGAUUAAUGCAGUACAACCAACACGUACCUCAAACGUACCAAUACUCUGAUCGCAAAAUUCCGAUUACUUACUCAAGCUUGAUCCCGACCUCCUCUCAGGCCUCCACAAUCAAAUGCCCUAGGUCUGUAUCUCGCCCCGCAUACUCAACACUCGCUCUCGUCGGCCUAUACUUUGCGCUGACAAACACUGCUGAAUCCCAACAGCUAAGCACCCUUACAUACUCAUCGAUCUCCCGGAGAAUUUUACAAUUCUCCCCCACUAAAGCACUGACUAACUGCCACCGAUCGUCAUUAACGACCUUUCAGAACAAUCCUGCACAAAGAGAACAUUUACCCACUGACUGCUUCCCACAAGCGUAAGCAACCCUCAGCAAAACACAUCUCCUCCCUGAUCAAUCCGCUCAAAAGAAUCCGAUCUUUCAAUUAUCCACUCCACAACUGCAGAUGCUACCCGUCAUUCAACCCAGUGCCGCAUCUCCACUAUCAACCCCCACGAACGAUGACCAACGGAAUUCCCAAGCAAUAACCCAUAACCAAACCCACAACCUGCCAAAGGUUGAAUAUCGCAUCGAAAACCGCACAAGGCUACCGGUACCAAAACACCAAACUAUAAUCAUACUAAACCAUCAGGGAACAACGAAUGCCAAGCGAAAACCUGAAGCACCAAUCCAUAACCAUGCCAAACCCGCGAAACAACGAAUACCGCAUCGAAAUCCACACCAGACACCAGCACAAACAAUACGCCACAAUCAACGCAAGCUACUCAAGACAUCAAGAGAGCAUCAUACCCGCAGCUGCCUCCGGCACUGCUCCGUCUCCCUCUGUCGCACGCAGAUAAACACGACCCUGAGCCCUCUGGGGCUCCGCUUCAUCCUGUCCUCCUCAAAUCCCGAAUUGGCACUGACUGCCAACAAUCCCGUGCACAGUGCCCCUCCUUUCCGCACUUGCGGCAUGCACCACUGGACCAACAAGCUCCGGUGCCAUCUCUCUCACACUUCCCACAAGUGUGACCGCUCCGAUCCCCCAUUCUAACGUCUACGGUCAUGGACCGUUUCGGCGCCGACUGCGACUGCAUCGGGGCCUGCCUCAUCUCACGCAACUGCAACUCAACCUCUAACUCACGCCACAUGGCGGCCUCCUGCGAUACCAACACGGUCUCGCGCCUCUGCGCAGGCACGAACUGUCUGAUACCCCCCCUUGAGCAUACUCGGAUAUCGGGACAUCUGAGCCUGCUCCGAAGCGAACUCAGGGCAAAACAUCGCCCUCUCAAUAAACAUCCCGGUGCUCUCAGUCACCGACUCCAAAUCCUGCUUCAGCUUAAGGAACUUCCGAGCCAAUUUCUCCUUUUCAUCCCGCGGAACAUAGCGAGUACUGAACAUCCCUCUGAAUUGAUCCCAUGAAACCGCAGCCCUCUGCGCAUCGGAAAAUGACCUCGUGGUCAAUCUCCACCAAUCCUUCGCCCCGAGCCUCAAUAGGUUCAGAGCACACCCCACCCUCUGAUCAGCAGGGCAUAAACUCGUGGAGAAACACCCCUCCAUGUCUGAUAACCAUCUCAUAGCAACAAUCGAGUCCUGAACUCCAUCGAAUGUGGGAGGCUUCGCAUAAUAGAAGUCCCGAUACUGAAAACCCCGACUAGCCCCUUUCUUUGCCGUUGCUACAGCCGCUGUAACAGCCGCGGCAGCCGUCUCUGCGAAAGCCGCAUAUCGCUCAUCAAACUACUUCAAUCAUAGUGGUCCUGAUCGACCCAAACAAUUCUGGCGACUCAGCCCGCAACAAUGCAGCAACCUCAUCACGCCGGAUCUCGCGAAUCCUCGCAUCCCGCUCGCUCGUGCUCGUCCGAUCGAUAACCGGAUAACAAGAUAGCCACAAGCAUCAUCCACUACGAACCAUGGUACUCAUCCCAUGACAUCCCUCCUCAACAUGCUUCGGUGUAUGGUACCUGAACCAUAGCACCACUCCUCAAUCUGCUCCAAUGUAUAGCACUCGAACCACAACAUCUAUCUCAAUCUGUUCCGAUGUAUGGUGCCCUGACCAUAACAUCACUCUGUAUCCGCUCCGAUGUAUGGUAUUCGAACCAUAACAUCACUCCUCAAUCUGUUCCUUAGGACCUUCAGAAUGCCCCCUGUAUCAAGUAUGGGUCCUCUGCUUUCAGUAGUACGGGCCCAUACUACCUGCCACAUCUACCCAUACUUUCCACACGGACCAUCCCAGAGUUCCUAAGUAGCUGAUAAACCUGCUCUUUCACCCAUCUCAUCGCGCGUGCUCGCUUUCCAGCGAAAUCCUCUACUCUACCAGCGCACUCAUCUGGCUAGGUUUACUCCCUAGUCCCUUCCGCUGUCCUCCCACUUCUUUGCUAUCAGCUGCUGAAGAGUUCCUAAUGAUGCCAGCCCUCUACCUCCUGAGUAUCGUCAUACUCACUUGGUAGCUGACUCCCAUCAUCGAUAACUCCACAAAGCACAAAGCAAGCAGCAUUCGAGCAUUGAAGCAUACAUAGGACUCCCCAUCUGUGGUAGCUCCACCUUCUCGGCUCAUCCUCGGAAGUACCUCUGUACCCCGUAGCUUUACCCCUUGUGCGUUCUAACUAGAUACUCUCACUCAUCACAUACACACAAAAGCAUAACGCACAUAUAACAGCAAACCCUAGACUAAGGCAUCACAAAUCAGGCCACUCUAGUCCUAAGAUGUGAAAUACCUAGCCUGUCUCUAGCAUGCAAUAAUGUCUCAUAAAGUGCAUAAUAGAUAUUUCAUAAUACAAAAGUAAGGGUAUUUUGGGAAAUCACCGUUUGGCUCUGGCUGAUUGUACACACUGCUCUUUCUUGCUUUCUCUUUGAACUCUUAUUCACUUUUAGAAAACCAUUUAUUUGGAAAACUUUUUCUUACUUCCUCAGUUUGAGUCCAGAUUUACCCGUAGGCGCGUCCGAAUCCCUCAAACCAAGGCUCUGAUACCAAUUUGUAACACCGAGAUUUCCAAAAACAAAAUUUUCAUUUAAAUAAUCAAUUUAAUAUUAAAAACACUUGUUUAAAAUCUUAUUCACAUUCGAAUUACAAAACAUAGUUUCAUUUUCAUUAUAAUAGAAGACCAGGAUCCUCCAAAACACAACUCUUUCUUCGGUGUGUACAAUCGAACCGUUGCCAUCCCGCGUUACUGUAAGAACCUGAAACAACAUAACAUAAACAACGUAAGCACGAAGCUUAGUGAGUUCCCCAAUAUACCUUACGCACAUACGCCUUCCGGCCCGGACCUUUCGGUCCACAUAACAUUGCCUUCCGGCCCGGACCUUUCGGUCCACAUAACAUUGCCUUCCGGCCCGGACCUUUCGGUCCACAUAACAUUGCCUUCCGGCCCGGACCUUUCGGUCCACAAAACAUUGCCUUCCGGCCCGGACCUUUCGGUCCACAAUAUAUAUCGCCUUCCGGCCCAUAAGAUAAUUGCCUUCCGGCCCAUACACAUAUAUAACACAUAAUACAAAUACUCUAACACAUAAAGCACAUAUAUCAUAUAUCAUACCUGACCUUUCUGUCACAUAAUACCUUGCCUUCCGGCCCAUAUAUAAGCAUGUAUAUCACGCGUAGCAGCUAACUUUCCAUUUAUAGCAUAUAAACAUAACACAUAACAUACUUGACCUUCCGGUCACACAAUCAAACCCUUCCGGGUGAGGUAUAGUGAGAAGACUCACCUCGCGGACACUGGAAGAUAGCAACUCCUAAAAUCCCUUGCACUUGAUCCUCCGAGCUACAAGCUCCCUGUAACAUCAUAUAUCCCUUAUUAAUACUUCUAUCUUCCACGUUAACUGACCCUAAGAAAUCACACCAGUCAACUCUGGUCAACAGUCCAUUGUCAGCUCGACUGGACUCGGCGAGUUCCCUGGCGACUCGGCGAGUCUGGUCGUCCUUCAAUCCUCUAAGAUUCCCCUUCUACUCGUCGAGUAUCCUCUUUGACUCGACGAGUCACUCCUGGAAGAAUCGCGGGGCCACCCCGACUCCACUCGCCGAGUCUGAAGAACAACUCGGCGAGUCCCAGUGAAUCUUCAAGCUACUCGCCGAGUCUGAUCAUCCGACUCGGCGAGUCCACGCCAUGCAGUCGAUCCAACUGCUUCCUGAGAUACGUUUAUUCCCGAAAAACACACCAAUGGGACUUCUGGACCUCUAAUCAUCCUAUUACUAGGGUAUAAACUUUUGUAUAACAACAUAAUAAUCCAUCAAAUCACCAAAUGGGUUUCAUAAACCCUAAAAUCGUGCACACAUCAAUAUAGCAGAAAUGAUCCGGAAUAUUACCUGAAUAACACCCCCUCUGUGUCUCCAAACCUCAGAACUCGAUCCCCUUGAUAUUCCUUUGGCCAAAACUCUUCUUCUUCUUGCUUAACAAAUUCUUCAAGGUUCCAAAAGCUUCUUCUCCUGCCCUAGACGUCCACAACGAUUAAGGGUCCUUCUCAGUCGGCCAAAAGGCGAACAAUGGAGGCAUAAGAUCCCUUAAAUACUUCCCAAACCGAACGGCUAGGGGUUUCCACUGAACAGCGUCGACUCGCCGAGUCCAUACCUGGACUCGUCGAGUCCAGUCGCGAACCCGCGACCAACUCUGCGACCCUACUCGGCGAGUCUGGCUCCAACUCGCCGAGUCUCCCCUUUAAAACACCCCAAAAUGCAAUUUAACAAUACUUGNCUGAACAGCGUCGACUCGCCGAGUCCAUACCUGGACUCGUCGAGUCCAGUCGCGAACCCGCGACCAGCUCUGCGACCCUACUCGGCGAGUCUGGCUCCAACUCGCCGAGUCUCCCCUUUAAAAUACCCCAAAAUGC